AGAGUUUGAUCAUGGCUCAGGAUGAACGCUAGCUACAGGCUUAACACAUGCAAGUCGAGGGGAAACGACAUCGAAAGCUUGCUUUUGAUGGGCGUCGACCGGCGCACGGGUGAGUAACGCGUAUCCAACCUGCCCAUCACUUGGGGAUAACCUUGCGAAAGUAAGACUAAUACCCAAUGACGUCUCUAGAAGACAUCUGAAAGAGAUUAAAGAUUUAUCGGUGAUGGAUGGGGAUGCGUCUGAUUAGCUUGUUGGCGGGGUUAACGGCCCGACCAAGGCGACGAUCAGUAGGGGUUCUGAGAGGAAGGUCCCCCACAUUGGAACUGAGACACGGUCCAAACUCCUACGGGAGGCA
rnacentral:rRNA from 1 species